rfam:Myotis davidii contig80240, whole genome shotgun sequence.
UGGUUUCAUGCUUUAACAGUGCUUGGACGGAACCUG